rnacentral:lncRNA from 1 species
UGUGAAUAAUGAAAAUGUUGUUGUUGUUGAACCCAUGAAAUUUGAUUGAAUUGUAUGAAUGAUGAAAAUGUUGUUGUUGUUAAACCCAUGAAAUUUGAUUGAAUUAUGUGAAUAAUGAAAAUGUUGUUGUUGUUAAACACAUGAAAUUUAAUUGAAUUGUGUGAGUGAUGAAAAUGUUGUUAAAACCAUGAAAUUUGAUUGAAUUUUGCGAAUGAUGAAAAUGUUUUUUUAAACCGAUAGAGUUUGAUUGAAUUAUGUGAAUGAUAAAAAUGUUGAUGUUAAACCCAUGAAAUUUGAUUGAAUUAUGGGAAUGAUGAAAAUGUUCUAUUAAACCCAUGAAAUUUGAUUGAGUUGUGUGAAUAAUGAAAAUGUUGUUGUUAAACCCAUGAAAUUUUAUUGAAUUGUGGGAAUAAUGAAAAUGCUGUUGUUAAUCCCAUGAAAUUUGAUUGAAUUAAGUGAAUGAUGAAAAUGUUGCUGUUAAACCCAAGAAAUUUGAUUGAAUUAUGUGAAUAAUGAUAAUGUUGUUAUCAUUAAACCCAUGAAAUAUGAUUGAAUUGUCUGAAUGAUGAAAAUGUAGUUGUUAAACCCAUGAAAUUUGAUUGAAUUAUGGGAAUGAUGAAAAUGUUCUAUUAAACCCAUGAAAUUUGAUUGAGUUGUGUGAAUAAUGAAAAUGUUGUUGUUAAACACAUGAAAUUUGAUUGAAUUGUUGGAAUAAUGAAAAUGUUGUUGUUAAACCUAUGAGAUUUGAUUGAAUUGUGUGAAUGAUGAAAAUGUUGAUGUUAAACCCAUGAAAUUUGAUUGAAUUGUGGGAAUGAUGAAAAUGUUCCUUUUAAAUCCAUGGCAUUUGAUUGAAUUCUGUGAAUGAUGAAAAUAUUGUCGUUAAACCCAUGAAAUUUGAUUGAGUUGUGUGAACGAUAAAAAUGUUGUUCUUAAAACCCAGGAAAUUUGAUUGAAUUGUGUGAAUGAUGAAAAUGUUGUUGUUGUUAAACCCAUGAAAUUUGAUUGAAAUGUGUGAAUGAUGAAAAUGUUGUUGUUAAACUCAUAAAAUUUGAUUGAAUUGUGUGAAUGAUGAAAAUGUUGAUGUUAAACCAAUGAAAUUUGAUAGAAUUGUGUGAAUAAUGA